AUGAGGAUAUGCAAAAUGAAUACAAUGUUGGAGGAGGAAGAAAACUUGGAAGAAAAUGAUAGUUUUUUUGGCAGAAUUGGUAUUCCAAACUGGAAGAGGUUCUCUGUAUUUAAUUUCCUCUCCGUAAGUUUACCUUCAGAAGUCCAAGUGUGA
rnacentral:lncRNA from 1 species